rnacentral:rRNA from 1 species
UUAAGCGACUAAGCGUACACGGUGGAUGCCCUGGCAGUCAGAGGCGAUGAAGGACGUGCUAAUCUGCGAAAAGCGCCGGCGAGGUGAUAUGAACCUUUGACCCGGCGAUGUCCGAAUGGGGAAACCCAGUGCAAUUCGUUGCACUAUCGUUAACUGAAUACAUAGGUUAACGAGGCGAACCGGGGGAACUGAAACAUCUAAGUACCCCGAGGAAAAGAAAUCAACCGAGAUUCCCCCAGUAGCGGCGAGCGAACGGGGAGCAGCCCAGAGUCUGAAUCAGCUUGUGUGUUAGUGGAAGCGUCUGGAAAGUCGCACGGUACAGGGUGACAGUCCCGUACACGAAAGCACACAGGUUGUGAACUCGAAGAGUAGGGCGGGACACGUGGUAUCCUGUCUGAAUAUGGGGGGACCAUCCUCCAAGGCUAAAUACUCCUGACUGACCGAUAGUGAACCAGUACCGUGAGGGAAAGGCGAAAAGAACCCCGGCGAGGGGAGUGAAAAAGAACCUGAAACCGUGUACGUACAAGCAGUGGGAGCACCUUCGUGGUGUGACUGCGUACCUUUUGUAUAAUGGGUCAGCGACUUAUAUUCUGUAGCAAGGUUAACCGUAUAGGGGAGCCGAAGGGAAACCGAGUCUUAACUGGGCGUUAAGUUGCAGGGUAUAGACCCGAAACCCGGUGAUCUAGCCAUGGGCAGGUUGAAGGUUGGGUAACACUAACUGGAGGACCGAACCGACUAAUGUUGAAAAAUUAGCGGAUGACUUGUGGCUGGGGGUGAAAGGCCAAUCAAACCGGGAGAUAGCUGGUUCUCCCCGAAAGCUAUUUAGGUAGCGCCUCGUGAACUCAUCUUCGGGGGUAGAGCACUGUUUCGGCUAGGGGGCCAUCCCGGCUUACCAACCCGAUGCAAACUACGAAUACCGAAGAAUGUUAUCACGGGAGACACACGGCGGGUGCUAACGUCCGUCGUGAAGAGGGAAACAACCCAGACCGCCAGCUAAGGUCCCAAAGUCAUGGUUAAGUGGGAAACGAUGUGGGAAGGCACAGACAGCCAGGAUGUUGGCUUAGAAGCAGCCAUCAUUUAAAGAAAGCGUAAUAGCUCACUGGUCGAGUCGGCCUGCGCGGAAGAUGUAACGGGGCUAAACCAUGCACCGAAGCUGCGGCAGCGACGCGUAUGCGUUGUUGGGUAGGGGAGCGUUCUGUAAGCCGUUGAAGGUGUGCUGUGAGGCAUGCUGGAGGUAUCAGAAGUGCGAAUGCUGACAUAAGUAACGAUAAAGCGGGUGAAAAGCCCGCUCGCCGGAAGACCAAGGGUUCCUGUCCAACGUUAAUCGGGGCAGGGUGAGUCGACCCCUAAGGCGAGGCCGAAAGGCGUAGUCGAUGGGAAACAGGUUAAUAUUCCUGUACUUGGUGUUACUGCGAAGGGGGGACGGAGAAGGCUAUGUUAGCCGGGCGACGGUUGUCCCGGUUUAAGCAUGUAGGCGGAGGUUCCAGGUAAAUCCGGUACCUUUUAACGCUGAGGUGUGAUGACGAGGCACUACGGUGCUGAAGUAACAAAUGCCCUGCUUCCAGGAAAAGCCUCUAAGCAUCAGGUAACACGAAAUCGUACCCCAAACCGACACAGGUGGUCAGGUAGAGAAUACCAAGGCGCUUGAGAGAACUCGGGUGAAGGAACUAGGCAAAAUGGUGCCGUAACUUCGGGAGAAGGCACGCUGAUAUGUAGGUGAAGCCCCUGCGGGUGGAGCUGAAAUCAGUCGAAGAUACCAGCUGGCUGCAACUGUUUAUUAAAAACACAGCACUGUGCAAACACGAAAGUGGACGUAUACGGUGUGACGCCUGCCCGGUGCCGGAAGGUUAAUUGAUGGGGUUAGCGGCAACGCGAAGCUCUUGAUCGAAGCCCCGGUAAACGGCGGCCGUAACUAUAACGGUCCUAAGGUAGCGAAAUUCCUUGUCGGGUAAGUUCCGACCUGCACGAAUGGCGUAAUGAUGGCCAGGCUGUCUCCACCCGAGACUCAGUGAAAUUGAACUCGCUGUGAAGAUGCAGUGUACCCGCGGCAAGACGGAAAGACCCCGUGAACCUUUACUAUAGCUUGACACUGAACACUGGUCCUUGAUGUGUAGGAUAGGUGGGAGGCUUUGAAGCGUGGACGCCAGUCUGCGUGGAGCCGUCCUUGAAAUACCACCCUUUAAUGGCUGGUGUUCUAACGUAGACCCGUAAUCCGGGUUGCGGACAGUGUCUGGUGGGUAGUUUGACUGGGGCGGUCUCCUCCCAAAGAGUAACGGAGGAGCACGAAGGUUAGCUAAUCCUGGUCGGACAUCAGGAGGUUAGUGCAAUGGCAUAAGCUAGCUUGACUGCGAGAGUGACGGCUCGAGCAGGUGCGAAAGCAGGUCAUAGUGAUCCGGUGGUUCUGAAUGGAAGGGCCAUCGCUCAACGGAUAAAAGGUACUCCGGGGAUAACAGGCUGAUACCGCCCAAGAGUUCAUAUCGACGGCGGUGUUUGGCACCUCGAUGUCGGCUCAUCACAUCCUGGGGCUGAAGUAGGUCCCAAGGGUAUGGCUGUUCGCCAUUUAAAGUGGUACGCGAGCUGGGUUUAGAACGUCGUGAGACAGUUCGGUCCCUAUCUGCCGUGGGCGCUGGAGAAUUGAGGGGGGCUGCUCCUAGUACGAGAGGACCGGAGUGGACGCAUCACUGGUGUUCGGGUUGUCAUGCCAAUGGCACUGCCCGGUAGCUAAAUGCGGAAAAGAUAAGUGCUGAAAGCAUCUAAGCACGAAACUUGCCCCGAGAUGAGUUCUCCCUGACCCUUUAAGGGUCCUGAAGGAACGUUGAAGACGACGACGUUGAUAGGUCGGGUGUGUAAGCGCAGCGAUGCGUUGAGCUAACCGAUACUAAUGAACCGUGAGGCUUAACCUU